UUCGAUCUCCACUUCCUUGAUAUCAACUUCGAUCUCGAAUUCCUUGACGAAGACAUCUACCUUCUUGAUCUCGACUUCGAUUUGGUAAGUGUUUAACUAUUUUCUUUCAUUAUAACUGUAUUGGUUGAAAAUUUGUCGCAAUUUAUUCAUCUACUCUUUCUGGGUUUUGUUUUGACCUGAUUUCUAGGUUGUACUUGACCCCUUUUAAGUCUUUUUGCUAUUUGGGUUUUUUUCAUUGGGUUUUUUCACCACAAUUGUUCCUUUGUUCUACUGCAACACAGAGAACAUGCUAUUUUUUGUACAUUUCGUUAUUUUCUGUUGAAUGAGUGUUUUCAAUAUUUUAUUUUUCAAGUGGGUUAUGGCAUAUAUCUAAGUAGAAUAGUAGUAGUUCACGGCCAAAUUUAUGUAUUUUUGAAGAGGAAAUACAAGUGUUCUGGACCUCUGGUUAUCUUGUGGCUAUUCUAAUAUCUUAGUUUCUCUUUGAAAUUUAAAGUCUUAUUGUCUUUCUGCUGUAAGGAUUAGGUCUGAUUGCAUGAGGGGUGUUUUUUUUUCCUUUUUUUUGAGUUGUCUUGUAUAUUUGUUGGUACAUCUAUAGGAUCCAGUAUAAAUGUGCUUCAAUAUCCUAGAGAGCUAUGCCUAGUAUUAAAAAGGUCACUACUAUCGCAGUUCAACAUUAUCCAGGAUGCAUAGCUCACACUACCUAUGUCUAACAUAAUCAGUACUAUUAAACCUAAUAUAGGAUUCAUGAAACAUAAGAUUCAAUUUUCAUAGUGUCUGAUUCUGGUGCAUGCACUACAUCCCCAACACAGGAUAACUCCUGGCAUACAUGUUACAACGGAUAGUGUCAACUUAAAUGGCCGGAUUUAAUCACUGCCAUUGUCACCGCACAACUAUGUUGAUAACUUCUCGGACUGAUUUGAAUCAUGGUCGUCGAUUCUAUGGAUGCCAAACUGCAAGAGUAAGUGAUUUUUCUUCAAUUUCCUUUGAUAUGAAGCUUAUUCUGAAAAAAAUGUCUUUUUUAACAGCCCCAUGGUUGUGGAUAUUUCAUGUGGUAUGAUCCUCUGAUGCAGUCGAGAGCCAUUCAAAUGAUACCUUGUUUGUUGAGAAGGUUGAAGGUUCUUGAAAAUAAAGCUCAAAAUUUUUGAUGCAAAAAGAGAAUUUACUUAAAUAGUUAUCGUAAACAAAAUAUGAUAUUUAUAUAGCAUAAAAUUGAGUUUUAUUGUUAAACAAAAUAUUUUAUUAUACUAUAUUGCAUUAGUUGCAGGCUACUCG
rnacentral:lncRNA from 1 species